UCAAUCUUCAAUGAUAUAAAUGAAAUCAUUGGUUUUUUUGCAAAAGGACAAGAUCAGGUUUUAUAUAACAAAGGUACCAACAUGUUUUAUUUGAAUCUCCUCUCCAGUACAAAAGGAUCUCGGAUUUUUGUUUGAUAAAUUCAUCAGUUCAGCAAAUUUGAUAAAAUUCUUGAGAAGUGGGAAAAUAUAUCAUCUAAAUACAAUGAAAUUUAGUAUUUACCCAAUUUAGAAAAUCAAUUAAAGAUGUGAAAUUGUUAGAGUUUCAGUAUAAAUUGAUAUACAAAGUUAUUUACACCAAAAAAAGAAGUACUUAAGAUGAAAUUGAUGAUAAAGAUGUAUGCUCCUUUUGCAACUGUAAUAGCAAAGAUCUUUUACUUGUAUAUUGUGAUUUUGAAUGUGGUCGUGCCUCUUGGGUGCAAGUUCAGUCAUUUAUAAAGAGAAGCCUUAAACUUGACAUCACUUUCGAAAGAUAUAGUGUUGUCUUUUUUACUGAUAACAGUGUUGUGAACUCUAUUCUCCUAGCAGGUAAAUAUUUAUUUAUGUCUCAAGCACCAAGCAGCAGAAGUUAUCCUUUGAGAACUUUUUAAAGAUUGACACGGACAUUUGGUAAACAGAAAACUAUAUUGCUUAUAACAAUAACACUCAAUAUAUAUAUCACAAAAAAUGGAAUUAUUUAGUGAACAUACUCUCUUGUUUGAUCAAGAAUCAUUUAAUUUCGGUUUGAAAGAAUUAAUUCUUUUAUCUUUCUCAGUGCAUCAUUUUCACAUUUGUAAAACGGGAAUAUGACAAAAUUUGGUGCUUUAUUCCCGGCACAUUGAUCAGUGUGUUGACUGAGUGGGACACACCGGCUAUAGAGGGGUUCCUUGUUUGUUGUCGGUGGACUCUCACCCUCUGUCCAAUGUAUUCGGCUUUGCAUCCAGCACACUGUAUGACAUAAAUCAAGUUUUUGGAAGUACAAUUCAUAUUUUCACGGACAUAGAAAGUGUUUCUUUGAAAGUACAAGAACAACAUUGUAAAACAUGAGGGCAAGUACCGCAAUUGGGUCUGUUACACUUUUGUACUGUUUUACCUUCUCGUUUUCCUUUUGAGAAAGAAUCCCUAGCAAGAAUCUGUUUGACAUUAAGGAUUGUAUUAAAUUUUAAUUAGUUUAUAAGUGACAUUUUUUGUGUAGUUCUUAACAAAAGGGAGAAGACUCCCACUAGGUUUAUCUUUUGGUGUGUGUGUGUGUGUGUGUGUGUGUGUGUGUGUGUGUACAUUUCAUGAAGAUUAUAUUAAACAUACUGCGUUUCAUCCUUUUUAUAUGUAUAACGUUGCUUGUGUAGAGAUUGCCACUGAUUAACACUGACCAAUUACACACCUUCACAUUUUCUGUAUUUAAUCCCUGGUACGCCAAGUAAAGGCUGAUAUUAUGUAAUUGUAGCUUGUCUAUUUGUCUCUUCGAGCUAGAUCAAGACAAAGUGGCCAUCUGCCAGCUCGGGAUUGGUAGUGAAAUGCAUGGGGCUUGCAUAAAAGUCAAUUUUUGCAUGGAAUGCAUGCUUUUCUGUAGCAGUUGCGUUUUUGUGACUUGAUUCCAAUCAUGUACUUCGAUAUUGAAAACCAGACUUUACUUGUUUGAAAAAAACACUAAAAUAUUGGUGUCACAGGAACUUUUGUUGUUGAGUAUAAUUAAAGAUCAAGUUUAUAUUUUAUAUAACAAAGGUACCAACAUGUUUUAUUUGAAUCUCCUCUCCAGUACAAAAGGAUCUCGGAUUUUUGUUUGAUAAAUUCAUCAGUUCAGCAAAUUUGAUAAAAUUCUUGAGAAGUGGGAAAAUAUAUCAUCUAAAUACAAUGAAAUUUAGUAUUUACCCAAUUUAGAAAAUCAAUUAAAGAUGUGAAAUUGUUAGAGUUUCAGUAUAAAUUGAUAUACAAAGUUAUUUACACCAAAAAAAGAAGUACUUAAGAUGAAAUUGAUGAUAAAGAUGUAUGCUCCUUUUGCAACUGUAAUAGCAAAGAUCUUUUACAUGUAUAUUGUGAUUUUGAAUGUGGUCGUGCCUCUUGGGUGCAAGUUCAGUCAUUUAUAAAGAGAAGCCUUAAACUUGACAUCACUUUCGAAA